GAUUAAAAUAAAAUGGAUCAGAUGGUAAAGUGCUUUACGAUGUUACAAGAUGAAGUGCACUGUUUAUUAAACAAGCAAUCAUGAAAACCAAAGACAAUAUUGCACUGUUUGCAUGACAACAUCAACCUGGAAUGUCUGUAAAUUAAAGAAUAUCAUAAAAUAAUCCUACUGGAGAUUGGAAACCAAAAUUGCAUAAAUAGAUACAUAAAUUUUAGAUGCUGGAAAGAAAAAUAAAUUGGGAGUUAAGCAAUUUUGAGAAGUUCUCGGCAUUGUCUAGCUCUAUGAAGUCCUUGCAUGGUUAUAACAAACUCCCUACCAAAUAUUAUCCCUUCUAAAUACAGCCGAAGAUCAAGUUUCUUCUAUAAAAAGGAAGAAAGCACCCUAUAUUCGUUAUAUAGUUGAAACAAAGCUA